UGAGGAAUAUUGGUCAAUGGGCGGAAGCCUGAACCAGCCAAGUCGCGUGAGGGAAGACGGUCCUAUGGAUUGUAAACCUCUUUUGCAGGGGAGCAAGACCUGUACGUGUAACAGGUUGGAGAGUACCCUGAGAAAAACGCAUCGGCUAACUCCGUGCCAGCAGCCGCGGUAAUACGGAGGAUGCGAGCGUUAUCCGGAUUUAUUGGGUUUAAAGGGUGCGUAGGCGGGCUGGUAAGUCAGCGGUAAAAAUGCGGUGCUCAACGCCGUAAGUGCCGUUGAAACUGCCGGUCUUGAGUGAGCGAGAAGUAUGCGGAAUGCGUGGUGUAGCGGUGAAAUGCAUAGAUAUCACGCAGAACUCCGAUUGCGAAGGCAGCAUACCGGCGCUCAACUGACGCUGAGGCACGAAAGCGUGGGGAUCGAACAGGAUUAGAUACC
rnacentral:rRNA from 1 species